rnacentral:rRNA from 1 species
UACGUAGGGUGCAGGCGUUAAUCGGAAUUACUGGGCGUAAAGCGUGCGCAGGCGGUUUGCUAAGACAGGUGUGAAAUCCCCGGGCUUAACCUGGGAACUGCGCUUGUUACUGGCAGGCUUGAGUGUGGCAGAGGGGGGUGGAGUUCCACGUGUAGCAGUGAAAUGCGUAGAGAUGUGGAGGAACACCGAUGGCGAAGGCAGCCCCCUGGGCUAACACUGACGCUCAUGCACGAAAGCGUGGGGAGCAAACAGG